rnacentral:rRNA from 1 species
UACGUAGGGGGCAAGCGUUGUCCGGAUUUAUUGGGCGUAAAGAGCGUGUAGGCGGCCUGACAGGUCUGCUGUGAAAACUCGAGGCUCAACCUCGAGAUGUCGGCGGAAACCGUCUGGCUAGAGUCCGGAAGAGGCGAGUGGAAUUCCUGGUGUAGCGGUGAAAUGCGCAGAUAUCAGGAGGAACACCUAUGGCGAAGGCAGCUCGCUGGGACGGUACUGACGCUGAGGCGCGAAAGCGUGGGGAGCGAACAGG